GACCCUGAUAUGGGUCCUUGUGGGAGGUAUUUGGAUUAUGGGGGCAGACCCCUCAUGAAUGGCUUGGUGCCCUCCCUGUGGUAAUAAGUAAAUUCUUGCUCUAAUAGUAAAUGCAAGAGCUGGUUGUUUAAAACAGCCUGGAAGCACUCUUGUUCCUUCUCUUUCCAUGUGACAUGCCUGCUCUCCUUGUGCCUUCUGCCAUGAGUAAAAUCUUCCUGAUGCCUCACCAGAAGCGGAGAAGAUGCUGGUGCUAUGCUUGUAUAGCCUGCAGAAUGAUGCCAAGUUCCAUGAGGACAGCAGGUCGUGAUAGUUCUAAAGGGUAGAACAACUCAGGUCUGUGAGAAGGGAAGGAAAAUAGCUCAAGGAAUUAAGGAGCCUUAGAGGCCCAGGAAGGUAUCCAGUAGUGCUCACUGCAAAAAUGUGAGCUUAAGCCAGAGAAGUCUCAGGCUUCAUAGGAACCCACAGGUCAGCCAUUUCUGACUUUAUACCAUUGCCCAUUUAAUAGUGUCAGCCUUACUUGUAACUGGGUAGAGGGAAAACGGGGCUCAAAUUGAAUUUUUUUCUAUUCAUGGAAGAAAGACUGUACAUAACCAGAGAAGUUUCAGCUUCAAAAAAUAUAUUUUAUAAAAAUUAAAAAUGAAAUACACGUUUAUGGUACAAAAUUUAGAAAGUACACAAAGUAUUAAAUAAAAGGUGAAAUAAUUAUAUCAAUAUAUAAGUAUAGUUCUGAGGAGAUUACACAACAACCUUAUUAGUAAAAAAUUUCUAUCAUCCAUAUCCUAUAGGUGAAGAAAUUGAGGCAGUCAGAAAUAUAGUCAUGCUUAAAUAAUUUGAAAGUGGUGGAAAUAGGCUGUGGAUACACUCAUUUUGAUUCUAGAGCUGUGCUGUUC
rnacentral:lncRNA from 1 species